UUUCGGCGUGGUGUUAAAUUCUGUAAUUGUACGUAUCAUAAAGGCCAAACACGAGUAAACAAAAACUAUCCAACAGCUCGUUUGAUUUGGCAAAGCGAUUGAAGGACACACGCAUAUCAUAUUCGUUUGUUUCAGUGUGGACUUUGGGGUUUCACUGGGCGUCAGUGCUUUCACCCUACGGUCAGUGUCAACAAGUUCUCAAGUCUGAACUUCAUCUAUUACCAACAUGCUGGUGGAUGUACGUUGGAGCAAUACGUUGGUUUUCUUCGUAAAUGGGAAGAAGGUCCGAGAGCCGAAUGUCGACCCAGAAAUGACUUUGCUGACUUUUCUGCGUGAGAAGUUACGAUUAUGCGGGACGAAGAGUGGCUGUGGAGAAGGAGGAUGUGGCGCCUGUACUGUCAUGGCGUCGAAGUACGACCGAGGACGAGAUGAAGUGAGACACUACUCCAUCGUGGCCUGCCUGAUACCCGUGGCGGCGGUGCACGGGCUGGCGGUGACGACGGUGGAGGGCAUCGGGUCGACGCAGACGCGCCUCCACGCGGUGCAGGAGCGGAUCGCCCGCGCCCACGGCUCCCAGUGCGGCUUCUGCACGCCCGGCAUCGUCAUGUCCAUGUACACGCUGCUCAGGAACCACCCGAAGCCGUCCAUGGAACAGCUCGACGAGUACUUCACAGGGAACCUCUGUCGAUGUACAGGAUACCGACCCAUCUUGGAGGGGUACAGGGGCCUCACCACCGAUGCCUCUGCAGGAGGUGGAUGCGGCAGGAAGGACUGUUGCAAGCUAAGGACUCAAGGGUGUCAGGAAGGUACCACAUCGAAUGAAGUGUCAGACGGGAUUUCAAACGGCGACAUCAGCGAUGUCAGCCGAAUAACUGACAUCUCGCAUGUCCUCUACGACGCCGAGGAUUUCCGACCGUACGACCCGAGCCAAGAGUUAAUCUUUCCGCCGGAACUGAAGACCCAAGAUGAGUGGGACAGCCAGUACCUCGAGUUCAAGGGAGCCCGAGUAUCCUACGUAAGGCCGGUCUCUCUCGCCCAACUCCUCGACCUCAAAGCUGAACAUCCAGAGGCUCGCAUUGUGGCAGGAAACACGGAAGUUGGCAUCGACGUAAAAUUCAAAAACAAGAAUUACCCAGUCCUCCUCAACCCAACCAUCAUACCGGAAUUAACAGAAGUAUCGGUGACGCAAGCGGGCGUGACCUUCGGCUCUUCCGUCACCCUAUCUGACAUCGAGGGGACGUUGCGGGAACAGGUCAACACACAGCCAGAAUACCGCACCCGAAGCUUUUCCGCUAUCUUGGAAAUGCUGCGUUGGUUUGGCGGGAAACAGAUCAGGAAUGUGGCGACUCUAGGUGGGAACAUCAUGACGUCAUCACCGAUCAGCGAUCUCAACCCCCUCCUGGCGGCUGCUGGAGCCAAACUGACCGCUCAGAGUAAAGAGAAGGGCAAGCGCGAGGUGGCAAUGGAUCAAAACUUCUUCACGGGUUACAGACAAAACGCAGUUCGUCCCGAGGAAAUUCUCGUGGCGGUACACAUCCCCUACACUGAACAGAACGAGUACUUCCUGGGCUACAAGCAGGCCCGUCGGCGCGACGACGACAUCGCCAUCGUGAACGCGGGGAUGCGGGUCGCCUUCCGGAAGGACUCGCUCGCCGUCGCGCAGCUCCGCCUGGCCUUCGGCGGGAUGGCGCCCACCACGGUCAUGGCGCUCGCGACCAUGGAGGAAUUGGAAGGACGUUGUUGGGAUCCGUCUCUCCUGGAAGCCGGGACGUCACUCCUCCUGCAGGAUCUUCCUCUGUCUGCGUCGGCUCCCGGGGGAAUGGUGGAGUACCGCCGCGCGCUCGCCAUUAGCUUCUUCUUCAAGUUCUACCUGAGUGUCCGAGGACGCCUGAGUGAGCAGUUCCCCUCCCUUGUGGAUCCGCUGACGGAAGCAGAGCAGAAGGCGACGAAGGUUCAUCGUUACAUCCCGCCAAAGGGCACGCAGCUAUUCCAGAGUGUUCCCCCCGGCCAGCCUAGCCUCGACCCCAUCGGCCGACCCAUAACCCACACCUCGGCCUUCAAGCACGCGACGGGCGAAGCCGUGUAUGUGGACGACAUACCUCCCCUCAAGGAUGAACUCCAAGCUGCGCCGGUCGUCUCGAGCAGAGCCCACGCCCGGAUCCUCAGCAUCGACGAGGAGGCGGCUCUCAGCAUGGAGGGCGUCGAGGGAUUCUUCUGCUGGAAGGAUCUGCCUGAGGAAAGGAACAGAAUAGGCCCAAUAACAGCAGAUGAGGAGUUGUUUGCCUCCAAGAGUGUGAACUGUGUAGGUCAGCUGAUUGGCCUUGUAGUUGCCAAGGACCGAGCCACAGCACAGAGGGCAGCAAAAGCUGUUAAGAUUCAGUAUGAAGACAUUAAACCUUGCAUUAUAACGAUCCAGGAUGCUAUCAAUGAGCAGUCUUGGUGGACCCCUUUCACCAUCAAGAAGGGGGACAUUGAGGAAGGCUUCAGGUCGUCCCAACACAUCCUCGAAGGCGAGAUGCAUGUGGGAGGACAGGAACACUUCUACUUGGAGACCCACACUCACCUCGCCGUCCCCAAGGGCGAGGACGGAGGUAUGGAAAUGUUCUCCGCCACACAAAAUGCAGCUGGGACCCAGAGGCAUGUGGCCGCUGCCUUAGGAGUGCCUUUGAACCUAGUGACAUGUCGCGUUAAGAGAUUGGGAGGAGGCUUUGGGGGAAAGGAAACCCGGAACAACAUGCUGUCUGUGCCGAUUGCUAUUGCAGCUGCUGCCCUGAAGCGACCUGUCCGCAUAUCGCUAGACCGAGAAGAAGACAUGCUAAUGACAGGAGGACGCCAUCCUCUUUUGGGUCGCUGGAAAAUAGGAUUCACAGAUGAAGGAAUUUUCAAAGCGAUUCAGAUGGACCUUUAUUUGAAUGGAGGUUGUUCUCUUGACCUUUCUGCUGCCGUCACUGGAUAUGCAAUGCUUAAUCAUGACAGUGUCUACAGAUGCGAAAACAGACAGGUGACAGGAUAUCCUUGCAAAACCAACCUACCAUCUAAUACAGCCUUCCGAGCGUUUGGGUCACCACAGGCCAUUAUCAUCACUGAGUACAUGGUUUCCAGGGUGGCAGAAUUCCUUAACAUGGAUCCUGAUGAGGUGCGACUGAAGAACAUGUACGUUUCGGGGGAUGAGACCCACUACAAGCAAACCCUGGAGAGAUGUACGGUCAGGCGCUGCUGGGAUGAGGUGGUUUCGCAAGCCGACUACCACACACGGAGAGAAGUGGUGAGAAAGUUCAACAGCUCAAAUAAGUACACGAAACGGGGAAUCGCCGCUUUACCCCUCAAGUUCGGCAUCGGUUUCACGGAGCUGUUCCUCAACCAGGCCGGGGCUCUCGUGCAUGUGUACACUGACGGCUCUGUCCUCCUGUCUCACGGCGGCACCGAGAUGGGCCAGGGACUUCACACCAAGAUGAUUCAGGUUGCCUCCAGCGUGCUAAAGAUCCCGGUCACAAGAAUCUACAUCGACGAGACCAGCACGGACAAGGUGCCGAACGCCUCUUCCACGGCAGCCUCGCUCUCCUCCGACCUUUACGGCAUGGCUGUGCUUGGGGAAGAGGAAAGGCCUGAGCUUUGUACAAGUACUGAGGCUCGAAAAGAAUGCAUGCAACACCAUCAUGCAACGACUCGAACCCUAUAUGGCAAGCAACCCAAAGGGCGGAUGGGACGAGUGGGUGAAGGCUGCUUAUUUCGACCGCGUCUCCCUCUCCGCCACCGGAUUUUACAAAACUCCAGGGAUCUCUGGGUACAACUUCGAAACGAAUGAAGGUCGCCCCUUCAGUUACUUCUGUUUCGGCGCUGCGGUAACGGAGGUGGAGGUGGACUGCCUCACUGGACAUCAUUCGGUCCUCCGCACGGACAUCGUGAUGGACGUCGGCGACUCGCUCAACCCCGCCAUCGACAUCGGGCAGGUGGAGGGCGCCUUCAUGCAGGGCCUCGGACUCUACACCUUAGAAGAACUCCGGUACUCCCCCGAGGGCGUGCUGC
rnacentral:misc_RNA from 1 species